GUCCUGGCUCACGGACUACUCUCUCCCCACAGGGGUCUUGUUUGGAAGGAACCCAUUGAUCCAGUUCUCCAGGGGUGGAGCUGAGGAGUUCCAUCACCCUUUAC
rnacentral:miRNA from 1 species